rnacentral:rRNA from 1 species
GCUUACGACCACACCGGCCUGAGUACGCCGUAUCUCGUCAGAUCUCAGAAGCUAAGCAGGGUCGGGCCUGGUUAGUACUUGGAUGGGAGACCGCCUGGGAAUACCAGGUGCUGUAAGCU